GGUGCAAGCAAGCUAAGCAACUAAAGGUCUCGCCUUGAUCAAAUAACGUCACCGUUCUCCGGUAGGGUCUCCGGUUCAAGUUGAUAGAGAGAUACUCUUUAAUUUUUAUCUGGAUCUUCAAACUCUUCUCUAGAUCAAAUUUGUGGUUGCAAUAUACAAUAAUAAACUGGUGAAGUGAAGGGGGUUGGUUUCUUCUGUUUCCAUAAUUUGAUUGAGGUCUAUUUGGAUUUGGAUGCGCGUAAAGAGUGCUUCGGGUUUUCUCAUUCGGUCUACUUGAUUCAGGUAAGUCACACAACAUUUAC